rnacentral:rRNA from 1 species
AGUGAACGCUGGCGGCGUGCCUAACACAUGCAAGUCGAGCGGUUCUCGGGUAGCAAUACCUGAGAAUAGCGGCGAACGGGUGAGUAACACGUGGGUAAUCUCCCCUCGAGUGAGGAAUAAUCCUUCGAAAGGAGGCUUAAUACCGCAUGAAGCUCCGGGACUUAUGUCUUCGGAGUUAAAGCCGAAAGGCGCUUGAGGAUGAGCCUGCGUCCUAUUAGCUAGUUGGUAGGGUAAUGGCCUACCAAGGUUAUGAUGGGUAGCCGGCCUGAGAGGGUGUACGGCCACACUGGGACUGCGACACGGCCCAGACUCCUACGGGUGGCUG